UUCAUUAAAUUUUUCUUCAAUUUAUUAAUUUUUUUAAACUUUGACUCCGGGUCUUUAUUCAACAUAUCUGGUCUCAAGGGUCCUAAACUGUUUAUCCCCAACAAUUUUAUGGUGGAGAAUGCGGGCAAUCAUUCUUCGGUGGCAUCCCUGGCUAAACAACAAACAAGGUAGGAAGCUGUUUUAUUAUUUGGUUAGGGCUGUCUGAGUGGAAGAGAUUGGGGCAGGAGAGCGGCAGAGCUUCACUCAGACGUGAGUGAGGAGUACCAUAGAACCGGAUUUGGAGGCCGGGGAGGUACACUAAUUAUACUAGCUUUAUGAUAUUGAUGAUCAUUGAAUUUGGUAGUAUAAGAAGUCGCUGAAGCCACGUGACGGCAGGCAGCGCAUCGGACGCACUCCAAUACAGGGACACAAAGUGAUUAAAACACUGCGUGGCGUACAGAGGUACCCCUACAGGGAGUGUAAGGCACUGGAUUUAGAAGCUCCAGUGGCACCGUGAACCUAACUCUGUCUCUUCCACAUCAGAUAGGGGUACCCCGAACUUAGUGAUUCAAACAGUUAAUAAAACCAUUAGUUAAUUACAAAAUAAAAAUUAAAUAGAGAUAGGGUUUCUUGUUUGCCUGGGAUGCAUCUAGAACGAUUCCGAGAAAAGUAAAAAAAUAUUUUUGUGACCCUAAUUGGAUUGGCACAGUAUGUAACUGUGAUUUUGGAGUAUACUUUGCAGUUUCAUCAAGCAGAAGCCAAAGCUGUGUUGUUUAAAGAUCGCCGCCUCCAUCUCUUUCAGCUGUUGUCAUGCCGGUGAAAGUUCAAUAUCAUGGUGCAUUCCAAGAUUUUCUAAAUGAAGUCACACACAAGAUCCUCGACCUCCAGCACAUGUACGCAUUCUUUGUCUGACCAUCAGCAGCGCAAAACCAGCAAACAAAGGCCAGUGACAGAUUUGGCAUAGAUGUGAUGGCAAACAGAUUGUCCAUGACGCCCUGAAAAAAUAAUCCAGUGACGAGAAAGAAGACUACGAUAAGACAGACUUUUGCACUUCCAUAAGUCCUGCACCAGUAUUGAAGGCCAUCUCAGUCGGAGGGAGGACCACCAGCCAUUCCUACUGGUAUUGAGAAGGAUCAAGGCCAGGACUGACAAAUUCUUAGUGGUUGAAGAAGCACCUCAUCUCUUCUGAAGGAACCAGCUCCUUGAGUGCUAUCGAACUUUAAGUCUACUGUUUCUACCUGCUAUGUAGGUCCUUUUAUCUUUAUCUACCCGCUACACUCAACAACACUACUGUUGGUCUUACCAGUGAGUCUCCCAAAGUAAAGGAAUUGCAUGGGAAGCAUUGACAAACUUUUGACAAAUUUUUUUUCGGAGCAUCAUGUAUUUAAAGUACAGAUAUUGGAAGUAGAGAGUAUGUUUAACCGCUAACAUUUUGAAGUUUUACAGGUCUUUUGACCUGCAGAGUUCACAUGGGUGAAUUUGAUGAUGAAUUUGUUUCAACUGUUAUGUCUAAGACGUGUCAUUGUUGAAAAUAAACGUUCAAACUGA